rnacentral:misc_RNA from 1 species
AAAAACUUUGGAAUUUCAAUACCAUAUUGAAAAAGAACAACAAAAUUUAUCUGUGGGAUUUUGAAAUUGAGUACAAUCCCCCUUGAAGAGACUAAAAAGAAUCUAAGUGUCUGUGAAGUAAAACGAGAAAUUGAGAAUUUACAUGUCAGCUAAGAGGAAAAUUAGAAUCCCAUAGCUCUUUUGCUAAACAAAAGUGAAAGCUGGACGUAAAAACCUUACAGCUAUGCACUUCUGCAACUAACAAAUGGACUUUCAUUCCUUUACUUUAAAACUACUAAUUAACGGCGAAACCCCAGCUUGGGCACAUCUUUUAUGAAGAGCUUUCCUCCUGUUUUCAGCCUUGUUGAUGAUUCUUUAGCAAUUUCUUUCUCAAACCCAUCCAAACCCAUCUGAUCUUCUCUGCAUUCAGGCGAGCAAAAUGCACCUAGGUACCCAUACAUGUAAAGAUCUUGGCCCUCUUCGAGUUUCUUCUUGCACAAGAAACAAGCGUUUAGAAACACUCCAAACCCUUGACCACGCUUCUUGUUCUUUGGCAGUGCAUCGUUCUUCUCCCUAAUUGGCGAUCCAAAUGUGAAUAUACGACACUGGCGAGUCCGUUGCUUCUCUGCCAAUACCGGCGGCUGGGAGUCUUUAACCGUCAUUGAGUUUGAGUUAGUGAUGGGAGCAGGACGUUUCCUCCCCAAAAAGGCUAUUGGAGAUUCAAUCGGCUGAAUAUGGCUCAACAGCCCAAUCUCUCCCUGACUCGACGACCGAACAUCACGAGAACGUUUGGAAGACAUUAAUGGACCACGGUAUAUAUUAAGAAUUAGCUGAAUGAUAGUGACAAUUUGUGAGAAACAUGGAGUUUAGAAAAGGGUUUGUGGGAAAAGAGAAGACAAUUAAAAGCUAGUAUUUGGGUUUUGUCUUCUACAUUAAAUUUUGGUGGAAUGAAAACAGUUUUGUUGGGAAAGGAAAAAUUAAUUCUUGUAGAGGGCUGUGAUUAGGGUUCUUGAAUGAUGAGUAUUAAUGUGGGUUUUUUCAGGGAGGUUUGUGAGUACUUUGGAAUUCUGAUUUAGUUGGGCACAUAUAUGAUUUUGAUCGGUUGGUGUGUAGGAUAUCGAUCCUAAAAGGACGUGAUUCGUAUCUUAGGAUUUUGUAGGUAUAUAUUUUACA